rnacentral:snoRNA from 1 species
UCGUCAGGUAGGAUAAUCCUUACCUGUUCCUCCUCCGGGAGGGCAGAUCGGAAUAUGAUGAUUGGAGCUUGCAUGAUACGUGAUUAGCGUCUCCUGCGUGGCCGGGGCUUGCAACACCCCGGUCGCUCCUGUCUGAU